rnacentral:rRNA from 1 species
UACGUAGGAGGCGAGCGUUGUCCGGAAUCACUGGGCGUAAAGCGCGUGUAGGCGGCGCGGCAAGUCUGCUGUGAAAGCGCCCGGCUUAACUGGGCGAGGUCGGCGGAAACUGCCGUGCUCGAGGCCGGUAGAGGCGGGUAGAAUUCCCGGUGUAGUGGUGAAAUGCGUAGAGAUCGGGAGGAAUACCAGUGGCGAAGGCGGCCCGCUGGGCCGAGCCUGACGCUGAGACGCGAAGGCGCGGGGAGCGAACGGG